rnacentral:lncRNA from 1 species
AAGUAUUUAGUCCUUUAGUUUAUUUAAGCAAUUUAUAAUGUGGAAUAAGUCUCUAUAAUUUCAAAAACAUAAUUAUUCAGUCCUUGCAAUUUCAAAAUGAAAAUUACUCAAUCCCUGUAAUUUCAAAAUGAAAAUUGUUUAAUCAUUGCAAUUCAAAAUAACAACUAUUUUAGUCCCUACAAUUCAUGGGAGAGACUAAAGGUCUAUUUGGUAUUACUGUUGGACCUGAAUCACUUCUUAAAUAUACUAUUUAGAAAAUAUUAAAAAAUAAUUCAAAAUUAUUUUUGAUAUAAUUUAGUUAUAAGAAUACCAAACUAAUAAAAUAACUUUGCUACACUGCUUUUUUCAACAUCAUUUAGAAUGGUGCUUUUUGUAAAAGGUGUUUUUCUGGCAUCCAAUCUUAAUGCCAAACAGGCUCUAAUUAAUGGUUUGAAAAGACAUAACCAAGUAGUUAGUUUCAUUAAAC